rnacentral:rRNA from 1 species
GACGAACGCUGGCGGCGUGCUUAACACAUGCAAGUCGAACGAAAAGAGGGAAAGAGCUUGCUCUUUCCGGAAUUGAGUGGCAAACGGGUGAGUAACACGUAAACAACCUGCCUUCAGGAUGGGGACAACAGACGGAAACGACUGCUAAUACCGAAUAAGUUCCAAGGGCCGCAUGGCCCAUGGAAGAACAGGUGGCCUCUACCUGUAAGCUAUCGCCUGAAGAGGGGUUUGCGUCUGAUUAGCUGGUUGGAGGGGUAACGGCCCACCAAGGCGACGAUCAGUAGCCGGUCUGAGAGGAUGAACGGCCACACUGGAAUUGAGACACGGUCCAGACUCCUACGGGAGGCAGCAGUGGGGAAUCUUCCGCAAUGGGCGAAAGCCUGACGGAGCAACGCCGCGUGAGUGAUGACGGCCUUCGGGUUGUAAAACUCUGUGAUCCGGGACGAAAAGGCAGAGUGCGAAGAACAAACUGCAUUGACGGUACCGGAAAAGCAAGCCACGGCUAACUACGUG